AGGGUUUGAUUCUGGCUCAGGACGAACGCUGGCGGCGUGCCUAACACAUGCAAGUCGAGCGGAGAUGUGCUGACGGAAAGCUUCGGCUGGAAGACGGUGCAUUUUAGCGGCGGACGGGUGAGUAACGCGUGAGCAACCUUUCCUUCACAGGGGGAUAAGAUACCGAAAGGUGUUCUAAUACCGCAUGAGACCACAGAGCCACAUGGCUUAGGGGUCAAAGGAGGAAUCCGGUGAAGGGUGGGCUCGCGUCCGAUUAGCUAGUUGGUGAGGUGACGGCCCACCAAGGCGACGAUCGGUAGCCGACCUGAGAGGGUGAUCGGCCACAUUGGAACUGAGAGACGGUCCAA
rnacentral:rRNA from 1 species